UAUAUAUAUAUAUAUAUAUAUAUAUAUAUAUACACAAUUACACAUACUUAUACAUAACUUUGUAUUCUACCAUCUAUAUCAUACACAUGUUCACAAACACACCUACUAUAAUCAGAUUCUAUGAAUUAGUUUAGUUUUCUUUAAAAAUCGAAUAACUAUCUGGAUAUGUUUUCUCCCCAAAUUCUUCCGCAAAAUAUCUAAUGAAUACAUUCAAACUCUCUCCUCAUAUAUCUUCUCUCUCUUUCAUAUUUAUGACAUUCUAAUACAACAUGUUCUAUUGUUUCAUGUUUCCACCGUAAUCACAUUUGCCAGUAGUAUGCUUUUGAAUUUUAUAAAGUUUACAAUUAAGUCCUGUAUGUCCAAAUCUUAACCUUGCACCUACAAUACUUCUCCUAAUUUUGUCAAGAUGUGGCAGUAUGCCCUGUGGGCUCUGAACGCACCACACAAGUGCCUGAAUUUAAUUGGUUGUGGCGCUGUCUGUAUAUACGUAAAGGGCCCUCCAUCACCUGGUGGACGUCAUCAUGUUUUCCUUCCGGUUCAGAUCUCGCUGACCCCGCUUACUAAUACGCGCUUGAAUGAUGAUGACUCUAAUCGCUGAUCGAUCCUUCUUGUGGUGCCUGCCAGAGACACUACACAGAGCUCAGUGAUGCUGCUGUUUGUCCUCGGCCGGCUGCUUGCCGGUUGUCCUGUUGUUCCGUUCCUGGCUGGCAGGCCGCCUGUUACCUUGGUUAUCCGUCGUCGGCUGCCUACCCGUCGCCCUGGUUGUUGGCUUCAUGGCCGCCGUCCUGGUCGGGGUAAAACUGGCUCCUGCCCCUCGUCCAGUGUGGCUGAUUCGGGCUGGUUUGUGACCAGCUGGUACUGAUCCUUCUCUGGUGCCGCUCUGGGCGGCGUGGCGGUUCGACCCAGGACGGGUUCUUAGUUUGGACUAUUGCUGCUUGAUUUGUCGUGGACUGAACUGUAUAAUUAUGAAAUAAUGUACAGUUAUUUUAUAAUAACUGUACAAUAAAUAAUAUUUUAUAAUAUUUUAUAAUAACUGUACAUUAUUCCUGUCCUUUAUUUUGACAGGAACGGUCGGCUCGUGGUGUUGGACUUUCCGGGUGGUGGUACUCCUUCUGGUUUGGUGCACGAUUUUCUUGUAUUCUUCUUGUUUGUUUGGUUUUUGUAGGCCACUACCCUGAUUUGCACAGCCAUCUUUGAGUUGAGCCAUAACUGUUAUUUUAAUGUGUGUGGUUUUAAAUUGGUGUAUUUUUUUCGACUAGAAUGAAAACAAUCAUGCAAUAAAUUAAAUUAUUGAAUUGGGUGAAAUUGUCUCAAGCCUCAUCUGUAGCGGGCCUGUGUGCCUUAAAGGUAACUUUUUAAGUAGAAUUAUUGCGACCUUAUAUUUAUUAAAUUUAUGGUCUUAAAUUCAAGUUACCCAUUUGGAUCACACUGGUACCGCCACAGAUUUUCAUCUAGAGGGAUCCCAUAAAUCACUCCAAUUUUUUUUAAUUUCUCCCGUGAUUUUUUUUCUCCAAUAGUUUUUUUUACAGAUAUUAUCCACAUUCAAAGCCUUAUUCUUUUGUCCUUCUUUUGUACAAACUACCAAUAAGUUUCCAUCUCUCAAAAUCUUUACCAUUUCAACA